rnacentral:lncRNA from 1 species
UUUGUGGCCUCCUGGCCACUUUUAGACAUUAUCAUUUUGCCUCAGGUUGGAGGACUUUGUGGAAUUUAAGAAAUACAUUUUGUGUGCAUAUUGUUUCAUAGCAAGAAUUGGUUGCAAAAAAAUGCUUUAUUUUUGAACAAUGCUUGGAAAUAUUAUGUGACUUUUUUGUUUGUUUGUUUUAGGAGGAUGGUGUAUGGUGGGGGCAAUAAAUGAGGUUUUUUGCAUUCCAAGGAAAUGGCAUAUGGAUUAACUAUAAGAAAUGAAAUAAGUAAUUUAUUGUAAGACAACAUCAAGCCAUGGAAACUUGGCAGAAGAUUCAAAGCAGCUUAAACAGCACUUUUAAUUAACUCCUAAACAUUACAUGGUGGGACUGUGGAGACUCCGUUAAGACAGGAGCUUGUCAGAGGUGGACAACACGAAGAUUUCCUUUGCAUUUUCAGUAACCUUUGGAGCACACUUCUCUUAUUUCUCCUAGAGCCCCGUGCCCCUCUGAAGUGUUACCACAAUCUAGCUUACCUAGCAGCCGUUGAUUGUUUUUUUUCCAUCUGAGCAAACAGGUAAUUUAAGCAUUUAUCUCCCCUUUCACUUUCAAAAAGAAUCAUCAUUGAUUAUUCUUGUUUCACAUCUGAGGAUGAAGGCUAACGGCUGUGCUUGCCCUGGUUACUGGAUGGGAUUCUCUGCUGGGCGGGUGGGGAAGCAGCUCUACCCUUCCCUACCCCUCCCUGCCCCAACUCUGACUUCGAAUAAGCCUUGGUCCUAUCCAGAAUACACUGGACACCAAGGCCAAGGACGUUCACGUUCUGCCCUCGCUGGGUCCAGCUGACUCUAGCGUCUGCACAGCCUUGUGUGACUCGUGGUGACCUAACCUGAGAAAGAGUGCAAUCAGAUGUUAAAGUAACUAAAUAGACUGCGGCACUUUUUUGCUUUAAACUAGAUCAUCUUAGAUUUGUCGAUACCUUCGAAAUUUGAUGGUUUCAUCCCAAAUGACUGCACUAUAUGUAUGCAUACGGCCACUUUUGAUUGCUGCGCCCCUUCUGAGUAGUCUUUGACAAUGUGUUGUGUUCCCCGAUGUCGACUUGAUUUCCUUUUAGUAGCAUCUCUCUCUUCCAUGUCUUGAUGUUAUGCAGGAAGUACAAAAGUACUUUAAAAUUUUGUUAUG